CCACUAAAGUCUAAAAAUUCUCCACUAAUCCACUGAAAUUUUCUUCUUGAGAUUGCAAAUUAUUGGGCUUCACUUUGCUCCAAUUCCAUCACCUUUCUGCAAUGCCGCCGUUGGCUUGAUUUUCAGUUUCCAUCUUCGAGGGAAAGAAUACAACAAAGGUGAUUCAAGAUAUGCGGCAAGAGAUGCAGGAGUUGUUGCCGUUGAAGGACUAACUGCAGUUCUGGAGGGCCCUGCUAGUCUUCUAGCAGUGAUUGCUAUAGCUAAAGGAAAGUCAUACAGCUACAUACUUCAACUUGCAAUUUCUCUUGGCCAGCUCUACGGUACUGCUGUAUAAUUUUGCUUUUUGCUGGUGUAAUUCUAGGGCAUUUUGCCAUUUUCUACAAGU